rnacentral:rRNA from 1 species
CCUACGGGAGGCAGCAGUGAGGAAUAUUGGUCAAUGGACGAGAGUCUGAACCAGCCAAGUAGCGUGAAGGAUGACUGCCCUAUGGGUUGUAAACUUCUUUUAUAUGGGAAUAAAAUGUUCCACGUGUGGGAUUUUGUAUGUACCAUAUGAAUAAGGAUCGGCUAACUCCGUGCCAGCAGCCGCGGUAAUACGGAGGAUCCGAGCGUUAGCCGGAUUUCUUGGGUUUAAAGGGAGCGUAGGUGGAUUGUUAAGUCAGUUGUGAAAGUUUGCGGCUAAACCGUAAAAUUGCAGUUGAAACUGGCAGUCUUGAGUACAGUAGAGGUGGGCGGAAUUCGUGGUGUAGCGGUGAAAUGCUUAGAUAUCACGAAGAACUCCGAUUGCGAAGGCAGCUCACUGGACUGCAACUGACACUGAGGCUCGAAAGUGUGGGUAUCAAACAGGAUUAGAUACCCUGGUAGUC